GAGGGUAUAGCUCAAGUGGUAGAGCCCAUGCUUAGCAUGUGUGAGGUCCUAGGUUCAAUCCCCAGUACCUCCU
rnacentral:tRNA from 1 species